GAAAUGCGAUACUUGGUGUGAAUUGCAGAAUCCCGUGAACCAUCGAAUCUUUGAACGCAUCUUGCGCUCCCUGGUAUUCCUAGGAGCAUGCCUGUUUGAGUGUCAUUUAAGUUCUCAACCACAUUGGAUUUGUUUUCGGUGUGGCUUGGAUAUGGGGGUAUUUGUUGCAGGCUUUUGAAGCAGCGCAAUCUGUUCAUGCAGCCAUACCAAGGGCAUAGAUAAAUUAUCACACCCAUAGUAGUUUUUUCUGCUCAGAUACUACUAAUGCAUUUCAGGGGAGCUGACUU
rnacentral:misc_RNA from 1 species